UGCUAGAACCGAAGUCAAAAAAUGAGAAGAAGAAGAAGAAAGAACUUUUCAAAGAAGCAAGGAGAAAAGAAAGACAACGAUGAAGGCUCCUAGAAAACUCUCUAAGGAAGGAAGCGGGGACAACUACUUGAGGCAAGGGACCGCUCGGCCAGAGUCUUGACAACAGGUUUGAAAAGUAGAGUUUUGGAUGCAAGUGACCGUGUAUAUAUAGUGCCCCUCGACGGUUGGGAUGAGAGCACGCCCAACGAGGAUCUCCCAGAUCGUGACACGUGGCAGCAUCUGGGUCUUCCCUCGAUCCAAUGAUUCGACGCACCUG
rnacentral:lncRNA from 1 species